GAUAGGGCAGAUUGGAGGAAGACUUCAGAUGUUCUAUCCUAUCUGGACCUUAAACAUCACAGACACAUGGGUUUCUACCUAUUAUAAGGGAAGGGUAAAAUAUAAUUCGAGACGUUUCCAAGAAGACACACCUUCAUAAAAUCAAGAGUAUCAAAAGUAAUUCAAGAAGAAGCCAUGAAAGAAUGCAUCCUCAAACUUCUAGACCAAAGUGUAAUAGAGG